UACAGAGGGGGCAAGCGUUGUUCGGAAUUACUGGGCGUAAAGGGCGCGUAGGCGGCCUGUUAAGUCGAACGUGAAAUCCCCGGGCUCAACCCAGGAACUGCACCUGAAACUACCAGUCUUGAGUGGUGGAGAGGGAAGUGGAAUUCCUGGUGUAGAGGUGAAAUUCGUAGAUAUCAGGAGGAACACCAGUGGCGAAGGCGGCUUCCUGGACACCAACUGACGCUGAGACGCGAAAGCGUGGGGAGCAAACAGG
rnacentral:rRNA from 1 species